AUCCGGAACAAAAUUCCUUCUGGACCCCUGAAAGCCACGAGAAUAAUUAAAAUUCUGCAUUGUUCUUCACCAUUUCACAUUGGAGAAUAUCAAUAAAUAUCUACCUUACUUCACUUGGAUGGAUGCAGUGCAGCGGUUAAGAUACCUGCAAGAAAAUGAAUCUCAUGAUAGUAAAAGGUCAAUGAAAAGGACUCUAUGAAAUUAUUUUCAUGGCAUAAGCAGGAUCCUUUCAGUGCCCUGGCCACCAUAUAUCUUUCAAUCAGGUUAACACAGAUUAUUCAGCUAUGUUGAGACAGAGCCAAUAAAUUAAGCCCCAUGAACCUGGUCUGCCAUUCAUGAUUGAUCAGCGUCUCAAUGCAUAGGACUGGCUGACUAACAACAACCUUGCACUCAACAUCAGUAAGUCCAAGGGAUUGACUGUGGAGUUCUGGAAGGGAAAGUCACACAUCAGACUUCAUUGCGAGGACAGCAGUGGAAUGGGUGAGCAGUUUCAAACUCCUGGGUGUCAACGUCUCUGAAGAUCUACCCUGGACCAAAAAUAUUGAUGCAAUCAGGAUGAAGGCAUGUAGCAGCUAUAGUUUAUUAGGAGUUUGAGGAGAUUGGAUAUGUCAUCAAAUACUCUAGCAAAUUUCUACAGAUGGACCAUGGAGAACAUUCCAACUGGUUGCAUCAUCAUCUGGUAUGACAGGGUCAUUGAACAAGAUUGGUAAAAGCUACAGAGGGAUGCCAGCUCUAUCAUGAGCACUAACCUUCUUACAUCUUAAAAAAUUGAUGUCUCAAAAAGGCAGCGUCCAUCAUUAAGGACACUCACCAUCCAGAACAUGACCUCUUCUCAUUAAUACCAUCAAAGAGAAGGUACAGGAGCCUGAAAAUGUACUCUCAGCAUUUCAGGAACAGCUUCUUUCACACUGCCAUCAGGUUUCUAUAUUAUCUCACUAUUUUUGUGCUACUUGUAUAUAUACUGUACAUAUUUCUCACUGUAAUUUAUAGUAUACUUUACGUAUGAUACUAUACUGCAUCUGCAAAACAAUUUUCACUGAUACAUCAGUGAUAAUAAACCUGAUUUUGAGCUGCAUUUACCCACUGAACCAUCAAAACCUUUUUGGAUUUUGAGAAAUUGUCAUCAGCAAGCAGUUGCCAAGUUACUUACGGAACAAGAAUUUCAAUUGAAAAUCAAUUUACUCACAGUAAAACUGUUUUAAGACAUUCUGAGAUCUUGGCAGAUGUCCAAUUAAUAUAAUUCUAUCUUUCAUUAAAUUGGAUAUGAGAGAACAUAAUAAUAUAAAGUUUCUUUAAAUGCAAAAUAGGCAUAACAGUUUUAAAGAAGUGUAUUGUUUAGGAAAUAUAAUGCAACUUAAGUAGGCAUGAAAUUGAUU